CCUACGGGUGGCAGCAGUGAGGAAUAUUGGUCAAUGGGCGAGAGCCUGAACCAGCCAAGUCGCGUGAAGGAUGACGGCCCUACGGGUUGUAAACUUCUUUUGUCAGGGAGCAAUUGAGUCCACGUGUGGUCUUAGCGAUAGUACCUGAAGAAAAAGCAUCGGCUAACUCCGUGCCAGCAGCCGCGGGAAUAUGGAGGAUGCGAGCGUUCUCCGGAUUUAUUGGGUUUAAAGGAUGCGUAGGCGGAAUAUCAAGUCAGCGGUAAAACUUCGGUGCUCAACCGCGUCUUGCCGUUGAAACUGAUGUUCUUGAGUGGGCGAGAAGUAUGCGGAAUGCGUGGUGUAGCGGUGAAAUGCAUAGAUAUCACGCAGAACUCCGAUUGCGAAGGCAGCAUACCGGCGCCCAACUGACGCUGAAGCACGAAAGCGUGGGUAUCGAACAGGAUUAGAUACCCCUGUAGUC
rnacentral:rRNA from 1 species